rnacentral:rRNA from 1 species
GGUGAGUAACGCGUAAGCAAUCUACCUUCAAGAUGGGGACAACACUUCGAAAGGGGUGCUAAUACCGAAUGAAUGUAAGAGUAUCGCAUGAGACACUUACUAAAGGAGGCCUCUGACAUAAGCUUCCGCUUGAAGAUGAGCUUGCGUCUGAUUAGCUAGUUGGUGAGGGUAAAGGCCCACCAAGGCGACGAUCAGUAGCCGGUCUGAGAGGAUGAACGGCCACAUUGGGACUGAGACACGGCCCAGACUCC